rnacentral:rRNA from 1 species
UGGGGAAUUUUGGACAAUGGGCGCAAGCCUGAUCCAGCCAUGCCGCGUGCGGGAAGAAGGCCUUCGGGUUGUAAACCGCUUUUGUCAGGGAAGAAAUCUUCUGAGUUAAUACCUCGGGAGGAUGACGGUACCUGAAGAAUAAGCACCGGCUAACUACGUGCCAGCAGCCGCGGUAAUACGUAGGGUGCAAGCGUUAAUCGGAAUUACUGGGCGUAAAGCGUGCGCAGGCGGUUUUGUAAGACAGAGGUGAAAUCCCCGGGCUCAACCUGGGAACUGCCUUUGUGACUGCAAGGCUUGAGUGCGGCAGAGGGGGAUGGAAUUCCGCGUGUAGCAGUGAAAUGCGUAGAUAUGCGGAGGAACACCGAUGGCGAAGGCAAUCCCCUGGGCCUGCACUGACGCUCAUGCACGAAAGCGUGGGGAGCAAACAGGAUUAGAUACCCUGGUAGUCCACGCCCUAAAACGAUGUCAACUGGUUGUUGGGAAGGUUCCUUCUCAGUAACGUAGCUAACGCGUGAAGUUGACCGCCUGGGGAGUACGGCCGCAAGGUUGAAAACUCAAAUGAAUUGACGGGGUCAUAGCUGUUUCCU